CCCAGGCCUUUCCCAUCCUCUGGCUGGUUCCAAAGCUUUGCUUUGGGGGUCUCUCAGUGGGGCAGCUUUUACUCCCACUCCAUUCAAGUGGAAACUUAUCCCCUCUCCGGCAGAAAACAGGCAGUUUGGCCAACUUCUGAAUGAUAUCUGAUUCCCUUUAAACACUUGAAGAGCACCACUUCUUACAGAAACACACUUCUGUAGGAGCUAGAGACCUGGAGCAGAGCCAAGGAGCUGGAAUUGGGAUACAGCAUUGCACAAGGAAGGCAGAGAGAGAAGGUUUUCAAGAUACUUUAAGCAGAUCCUCAGCACCCCAGAGGCUGAGGUGCCAGGAAGGGGCUGUUGGGCCCAUGAUAGACAAAGCCACUGGCACUGCUGAUUAAGGACUGAAAGCACAACUUGCCUUCUGUGCAUGAAUCCAUCCCUGGAGGAAUUUUUCCCCACUCCCUUCCUUGGGAACUCCUUACUGUUGUCCCUCUACCACAGAUGUUACAGGCACCCCAUCAUUCUAUUCCCAAAGGACUUCAUUCCCUGCUCAUCCUCCAGAGGGCUUGGGAAAGCUUCCCUGGUGUGCACUGGGGAAGCA